GUCCAGAGGAGAAGCUCCCAGAGAACCAUCAGGAUGAAAAUCUGAUGGAUAUUAAGGCUGAGGUUAAAGAUGAAGCAGAAGAGGAGACAGAUUUAUGGGGCGAUCAGCAGGAUGGACUCAUAAAAGGAAAUCCCCCCGAG